ensembl:lncRNA
GAAAUCCCCCAUUUAACCCAAAAAUCACGCGUUUUCUCUUCGAGAAUCCCCCAUUUAACCGAAAAUCACGCGUUUUCUCUUCGCAAAUCCCCCAUUUAACGAAAAUCACGCGUUUUCUCUUCGAGAAUCCCCCAUUUAACCAAAAAUCACGCCGUUUCUCUUCGAGAAUCCCCCAUUUAAGCGAAAAUCACGCGUUUUCUCUUCGAGAAUCCCCCAUUUACCCGAAAAUCACGCGUUUUCUCUUCGAGAAACCCCCAUUUAACCCGAAAAUCACACGUUUUCUCUUCGGAAAUCCCUCAUUUUAACCCGAAAAUCACGCGG